UCCCCGAGGGGAAGUCUGACGGAACACGCCGCGUGAGUGAUGAAGGCUUUCGGGUCGUAAAACUCUGUUGUUAGGGAAGAACAAGUGCUAGUUGAAUAAGCUGGCACCUUGACGGUACCUAACCAGAAAGCCACGGCUAACUACGUGCCAGCAGCCGCGGUAAUACGUAGGUGGCAAGCGUUAUCCGGAAUUAUUGGGCGUAAAGCGCGCGCAGGUGGUUUCUUAAGUCUGAUGUGAAAGCCCACGGCUCAACCGUGGAGGGUCAUUGGAAACUGGGAGACUUGAGUGCAGAAGAGGAAAGUGGAAUUCCAUGUGUAGCGGUGAAAUGCGUAGAGAUAUGGAGGAACACCAGUGGCGAAGGCGACUUUCUGGUCUGUAACUGACACUGAGGCGCGAAAGCGUGGGGAGCAAACAGGAUUAGAUACCCUGGUAGUCCACGCCGUAAACGAUGAGUGCUAAGUGUUAGAGGGUUUCCGCCCUUUAGUGCUGAAGUUAACGCAUUAAGCACUCCGCGCCGGGGGAGGAAA
rnacentral:rRNA from 1 species